rnacentral:rRNA from 1 species
GACGAACGCUGGCGGCGUGCCUAAUACAUGCAAGUCGAACGCAGUGGGGACGGGUGAGUAACACGUGCCUAACCUCCCCUCAGACGGGAUAACACUUGGAAACAGGUGCUAAACCGAUACCGGAUGAUGGACCCGCGGUGCAUUAGCUAGUUGGUGAGGUAACGGCUCACCAAGGCAACGAUGCAUAGCGGGUCUGAGAGGGUGUGCGGCGACACUGGGACUGAGACACGGCCCAGACUCCUACGGGAGGAAGCAGUGGGGAAGCGUGGGCAAUGGAAGAAAGUCUGAACGAGAAAUGCCGCGUGAGUGAAGAAGGUUUGCGGAUCGUAAAGCUCUGUUGUUAGAGAAGCGGUAUCUAACCAGAAAGCCACGGCUAACUACGUGCCAGCAGCCGCGGUAAUAC